rnacentral:misc_RNA from 1 species
GCAAACUUGGUCAUUUAGAGGAAGUAAAAGUCGUAACAAGGUCUCCGUAGGUGAACCUGCGGAGGGAUCAUUAAUGAGGGACCUUUUUUAAGGUCUUCAAACCCUUAAAAAUUUGUGGAUAUAUGACAAUGUGUUUCGGCGUUUUUGGACGUCGUAUUUAUGCUAGUAUUAAUAUAUUUUGAAGUCUGAAAUUGUAAAAUAAGAAUUAAAACUUUCAACAAAGGAUCUCUUGGCUCUUGCAUCGAUGAAGAACGCAGC